rnacentral:rRNA from 1 species
AAAAACAUAGCCCUAAGAAUAUAUUUAGGGUAAGCCCUGCCCGGUGAUAGUUUAACGGCCGCAGUACCUUGACUGUGCUAAGGUAGCGUAAUCAGUUGGCUUUUAAAUGGAGUCUAGUAUGAAUGGGUUCAUGGGGGACAGCUGUCUCAAGCUUAGUGUUCGAAUUUUCUAAGAAGGUGAAAAUACCUUUAAUAAACCAAAAGACGAGAAGACCCUUAGAGCUUUAGUAAGUCGUAUAUUAUACGAUAUCUUUUUGUUGGGGCGACAUAGAGACAAAAAUAACUCUCUUCAAUUUAAUUUACUUGCCGACUUUUUGUAAGUAAGAAUAAGCUACCUUAGGGAUAACAGCAUUAUUUUUAAAAAAGCUUAUGACCUCGAUGUUGGACUAGGGACUUUAUGACUAGCCGUCAAAAUAGCAAGCUCUGUUCGAGCAACUGACCCUACAUGAUCUGAGU